GAAGAAUUCGAUCGGCAAUAUCAAAGCCGCCACGGUGUUCCAACGUUCUUUGCCUGCACCGCCGUUCCUGAAGCUUUCGAUCAGCUGCGUAAGCUUCUCAUACGAGCCGCCUUCCUCCUCCUCUGCUCCGCAUUCUCCUCUCCAGCCAUGAGCGCCAACACAGCGCGCGCGACGUGCCCGUCGUCGUACAAGAUCAUCACGGACGCCAUGGGGGACGCUGACCCCGAGCACAGAGAAAAGCAAACACCGGAUUGAGAAAACCAAAACGAGGCAAGCAACAUAGAAGCAUGCAGGAUAUGCAUUCAGUCAGUUCAUACAGAACCCUUUUAUUUCCCUUAAAAAGUUCAUCCAGAAGUCCAGAACCAUAGAACACAGCAAAUUCAUCGGCAGUGCAAUGCUGCUAUAGCAGUUGUACUUAGUUCUCCCCUACGGUUCCUUCGGCAAUUUAUCAUUCAUCAACGACAGAGUUUCUGGUUUCCUUGCGGCCACUUCCCCCGAAGAUCUGAAUCAGCCGCGUCAGGUUCUCAUUCGACGACCCACCUUUCUCCACCGCUCUAUGCGCCCUCUCGGCCUCUCCCCGAACUCCUUGGCCUUCCUCCUCCUCUCCUCCGCCGCCUCCUCAUCCCCCAUGAGCUCCGACACGGCCCUCGCGACGUCCCCCCGGAGCACCAGCACGGCCUCGUCCUCAAACAGCUUCACGGGCGUCAAGCCCGCGCCGACGGAAACGCCGACGCCGAGCACGUCCACGACCAGCUUCUCGUUCAAGAACUGAUCGGCGAAAUGCGGCCAUAUCACCACCGGCACGCCGUGCGCCAUGGACUCCACCUCCGAGGUUCCAGCCGCAGUGGGUCACGAAACCGCCCACGGCGCGGUGCGCCAGGAUAGCCAGCUGCGGCGCCCAGCCGCGCACCACGAGGCCCCGCCCUGACGUGCGCGUCUCCAGGGCCUCCAGCCACGCUUGCGCCUCUGGCGAGGCCACCUCGGACUCCUUCACCACCCCCAGGAACGGCUUCAGAAUAGUACAAUUAACUGGAUGCACAGAAGGUGUUUGUGAUAUUGCUUAGCUGCGUCAUGUUAAAAUCGUGGAGUAAUGUUAAACCAUAAUAUGUUGUACUUAUUCCUUUGCUGUUUGAUGCAUGAUUAAUCCUGCAUGCUGAGCCUCGGAUCCCCGAUGCAAUAUUUGGUACAUGCUGCCACACUUGAUUUGGUUAGCUAGUCUAUUCAGAAUGUGAUGUAUAGUUACAUAUAUGUCUAUGAAACCUUUGUGAACAUGUUGCCACACUUAAUUUCUUCUUAAAGUACUACCAUAACCCAAAGUCAAAGAUGAUAAGUAACUAGUGACGAGAAUCUAUUAGAAGUUGGCAUAACAGUGACCUGAUUACAGGAUAAAAGUAGCUAACUGUACUUAAUUAAUCUCCAGUGAUUUGGUGAACCAACGGUGGUGUGGUUCCUCGUGCUAACAUGAACCAACAGUGCUCUAGAGACAUCAUCAUGUAGACUAUCUCAUUGUACUUUGGUGUCAUCAGAUAUCCACCUUUGCAGCUAGCAGCUACAAAGUUGUUAGUGCUAUUGGUUACUAGAUUGUAUCCGUUUUCCUGCAUGUAAUUCACUCUCUUAAAUUGUUAUCAGUAUCACAUGAUGUUUGCUUCCUUAUUUGCCUGCAGAGCGCUAUUAAUUUUCUAAUGGUUGUAUACAAGAAGUAAUUUCCUUCAAUGGGUGGCUAUUUAGCUGAUGCUUGCGUGGUAUUUACAAAUGUACAAGAGCUUAUCCAUGUUGUUCUCCUGUUAGAAACUUACUUGAUUUUAGUUGAUCCACAUGGUAUUUCAGAAAUAAUGUGUUUUUCUUUAUUGAUGUAGCCGGAUCUUAAUAGACUUGAACACUUCGUUCAGACAGUAGGUUUCUACGAGUACUAAAAUAUUUCAGAAAAGAGCUCGCUUGCACCAGGAAUAUGCUAACUACCGAGGGAAGGUGGCUACAAACAUUGGAAAUUCACAACCUGGGAUGGCUACCGAUGGCUCACAUUCACAAAGUACUCUUGAGAAGACAAGAAAGAAGAACAGAGUUUCCAAUGUUAACAUGAAUGAAGCCAGUGUGUUGUUUCGAAGGGAAUAUUUUCCUGACCUGAAUCUGAAUAUUUGUCUUGAUGAAAUGUAUGAAUCAACUACGUAUUGCAACACUUGUAUUGAACUGAGUGUUUUUCGUCAAUUGAAUUAUAUGAAUUUGGUACUACCGAAGACCGAACAGUGUAAUCAGAUUGUAGCACUAACAAUCUGCUGAUUGUUGAGGCGUUUUCCAAAUGAGUCUCGAUUUGAAUUUCAA